rnacentral:lncRNA from 1 species
UGGGUACACAAAUCUUUUAGACACUUGGCAUAAGAAGGAACUUGUUGAAUGGCAUCUAAAAGAGGAAUGUUUAUCUUGACUUGUUUGAAAACCUCUAGGAUUUGUUCCAUUUGGGCCGAUUGUUUAGGAGGAAUGAGUCUUUGUGGGUAAGGAACCCUUGGCUUGUAAACUUCUUCGUUGGGCUUUUGAGAAAUGGGCCCAGGACUA